rnacentral:lncRNA from 1 species
CCGUCCGUGUCCCUGUACUGGACCACGAAGGAGUCAAAGGGGCCCUGGGCUACCGUCCAGGACAGGCGCAGAGAGCUGGAGGUCUCCUCAGCCACGCCAAGCCCUCCCUUUUCUUCCACCCCUCGGCUCCGAGUCAGGGAGGAGGGAGGAGGAUGGGAACCACUACUGAGUCCAGCGCCAUUCCCAGCAUUAUGCAGCAGUCAGCGAAUGAAAGGAAGUAAUGCAUAUGCUUCAGAACUGUGCCUGACACACAGAGGGACUCACUUUCGGAGUUAAGAUGGUUGUGUCAGGGCUGAUAGAGGGAAUCUCACGGGAAGGCUGCAGGGCCAGCUCUGAGGGCUCGGAUGAGAGGCAGCUCUGGAAAAGGUGGAGGCUGGACUGGGACUCAC